AACCAACCGCAGGGGAGCUCAGAGGCUGAGAGCCCUUCUUCUGAAGGGCAACCCUUUGAACCUGAACUCGGUAAUGCGAGCGUAGGGAAGCGGUUCGCAAAAAGAC
rnacentral:ncRNA from 2 species